rnacentral:lncRNA from 1 species
GUUUUGAUCAUCAGCUAGCUGACUUCAGGGAAGCAACUUUGUGGUGGCAAACAAGCGCUUCCUUCACAUGGCUUGCUGGGGUCUGAUGUGGUUUGCCCCGAAGGGUUCAUGUGGUGGAGGCUUGGUCCUCAGUGUGGUGUGAGAAGGUGGGGCCUACUGGGAGGCUCAGAUCAGUUAGAGGUGGUCCCUCAGAAGGGACUGUGGCAUUCUCUCUGGCUUCCUGUCUGAUGACGUGAUCACUUAUUCCCAUAUGUGCUCCCAUCAUGAUGCGAUCCACCAUGAUGAGCUCCAUCCACCAUGAUCCACUCUGACAUGACAAGAUCUGCCAUGAUGUGUUCUGCCAAGAGGAUCCUUGCCAGAGGCCAAGUUGAUGAUGCCCUCCAACCUGGACUUUGGGCUUCCAAAACUAGAGCCCUGAGUAAUACAGUGUUGUGUUUAUUCACCUGAACUUGGAGAAUGACAUCUGAGGCUCAUACAUACCCCAAGGGCUGGUCCUGUGUGCUGCACACACAGACACAGACGCAUAACAUCAAGGGCUAGAAGAAACCCAGACAUUUUGAAGAAUUGGCUUUGCUUGUUCCACAC